ACUACAGUCCAGAGGCUCUUCUAAAGUUCUUCUUUUUCAUCAUUGUUUGUUUUUAAAUGGUUUAAUGCUGCCUCUAAUUGCCAAGUGCUAAAAUAUGAAUCUUCACACCUCUGAGUCAUCAACUUAACCAAGCUGCAGCUUCAACUUCAGAGAACUUCCUGGGAGUAAAGUGAACUGUGCCCACAGAAUAAGAGAUGAGGAAGUUACUAUUGUUAUGCAUUUCCCAGAAGACCUUGAUGCAACCUGUUACCUGAAAGGCACCUAAGAGAGCCUCAUUUGAAUGUCUGCCACCUCCUUCCACAUUCUGCCUUAAAACUCUUACAAGUUGCAGAGUCGUGGCUUCAACAGCAGCAACCUCUCCUGUUUGCUUUACCCGAUGAAGAGUUCUGGAGAACUCAAAAGCUUGCACACUUUUUUUGUGAUGUAGAGUGGCCUAAUGAAGUCCAAAAAUCUCCAAGCAACUGUCGGGUGCACAAAAGAGAAAAAUAAACAAGUGAAAAUCAAUGAAUUUGCUGAAAUGGAAGCCAGAAAAGUGCAAUUAAAAUAAUUAUUUUCAUUUAUAAAUACAUGUCAAUGAUCUUGUAUACUUCUUGUGUACACAAAAAUUAUUUAUAAACAAUUGUUAUAUUGUA